UAACAGCCUGCAGUCCUUGACUUCUUC
rnacentral:sRNA from 1 species